CUCAAGGCCAAAUCCUGUUCGUACCCUCGCUGUGUGGCCCGAAACAUCUGGGUCGCUCCUCCACUCUUCCCGUGGAAAACUUGUUCGAGCCUUAUCAGUUCGAAGCAACAGGGUAGGAUAGGGCGGAGCCGCCGGUGUCCCCGGAGGUGGCGGUGGCAGCGGCAGAGGGGGUCGGCGAGGAUGGCCACUGGGGCGAGGAGGCGGAGCCGAUGACCCCGGCGGUGGCGGCGACAGAGGGGGUCGGCGAUGAUGGUCGAUGGGGCGAGGAGGCGGAGCCGAUGACCCCGGCGGCGGCGGAGGGGUCCCAGGGGCUCGAGGACCGACGUCUGAUGCGGCCGUGGUUCCUCGCCAUCAAGAGCUAGAUCGAGCGCACGACGGUGUAGCCGUCCAGAGGAAGAGGAAGAACAUCCUACGCCGGUUCGGCCGUGGCGUCAUGGAGGAGACGGAGAGAAAGGGCACCGGUGGCCCCGUGAAGGUCCAGGAGGUCGCCGCCUCAUCGUGCAGCGCGCGAUGGUGGACCGAUGGGCGUCGAAGAGGCACUUGACCUUGCCGGAUCACGUUGUUGCUGGCGUAAUCCAGGCCGGAUCUGUGGAGAGCCCGGCGCAGCACCGUCUACAGAUUGAUAAGGGCCGGACUUCAAUGACGAAUCUACUAUUCAGCACACAGCCCAACUCGACAGUCACUAGCCAUGUCAAUAGGCACUCAGGGGCAUGCUCGCCUCGGCGGUCAUCAAGGUGGCAAUAGGACACUUAAAUUCUGCCAUUUCAGGCGAGAUCAAGCUGCAUAGGAAUAUGAGGAACAAUCCGAUCUGGAGAACAUGAAGAUGACGCUGGAGUCGCUGGACGUUGUGCUCCGCGACGCUGAGAGGGAGUCUAUCAAGCAUAAGUCCAUGCUUCUAUGGCUGAAGCAACUUAAGGAUGCCGCGAACGACAUCUCUCACAUGCUUGAAGAUUUUGAAGAUGAAACUGACCUCAACCUGGUAUGCAAGAUUCUGAUUUGGUCACUAUCAAUCUUGAUCUGAAUGUUGUUGUUUAAUAACAUUUGAAUAUUUUUAGAUAGUGAACUACAUCUAAAACUUUUUAAUGUACUAAAGUAGAUCUGAACCUCACUAUGGGAGUUGAUCUUUGAGUCGAUGUGAAGUAAAAUCUACUUAUACUUGUUGAUGCCAA